UCACGGCUUCUUUUCGCCCAGAAUUCAUUGCGCACAAGAUGGUGGUGAUUUGUGUCCCAAGAGAAUCCUGUCUGAGGAGGUCUACAGACAAUAUCCUUAAGUUUCGUGCUUUGUGCUCAGACAUGCAAUGUAAUCUGUGGGACAUAUACAGACGUGUGUCAUGCCCAUAAGUUUACAACAGGCGGACUCCAAGUAGAAACAGUGGAAACAAGAUUCACCUGAGCUCAAUUUUCAGCUUAAUGAGAAAGGCUGUGGAUACUUGCGUAAAUGUUAUUUCUCAGUUUUUUAUUUAUAAAUGUGCAAACAUUGCCAAAUAACCUAUUUUAAGUUAUUAUGGGAUAUUUUGUCUAGAAUUUUGGGAAAUAAAGUUUCUUUAAUUCAUUUUGGAAUAAGGCUUUAACAUAACAAAAUGUGGAAAAAGGGAAGCGGUGUGAAUGCUUUCCGGUUGCACCGUACACCACCACACACUCCAAGUGGACAUGACAGAGAGGAAUUAAAUUUAUACUGAGUCUAUAUCAUGUGAGACACACUAGGCUUCACAUUCAGCGAGCUCCGUGCAAAAGUCUUAAUCCUGCCCUUUUCCUAUAAUCUUUCAAAAUGUUCUUGACCAGUGACGCAUUUUUUUCAAUCAAUCUACAAGUAAAAAAUUCUUCUAACUCAAGGGAUGACCCAGUGUUGAGUCGACAGCUGAGUAUAGGACCACAUCUCAGCGUGUUGUGUGGUUGCAUUCAGCAUUUUCAAUGCAAGUCUUCACUGCUGCACGCAUAAACACACAGUAGAAUCUGGUUUUAUCCUGGAACACAUGUGUUGUUUACAAUCAAAUUUAGCGGCAGGGUGAAAGAAGGUGAGGGCUUAUUUUUAAAAGACUUGUGGAACUGGACUCAUUUGAACUGGUUUCCAUGGAAAUCCUCAGUCCACCAGUCAAACCUCAGUAAGUUCUGACCUCUGCGACGACGCUCAGAAACCUGCAGAUUGACAGCAUUUUACCCCACAAGCGAUUAAAAGAUGAAGGAAGAAGAGGAGGAAAUUACCAUCGAGGACAAAAACCAUCAACUAACUUCCCUGCCAGCAGAAAAUCAAACCACAACAAGUCCAGAUGGGCCUCAUGAUGAGGAUGGGGAGGGUCCCAGUGAAGGACAGCCGGCUCAACGGAUCUCCAAUGAGGACAAACGACACCGAUGUGAUUGUGGAAAAUGUUGGAGGUGGCUGUAUCAAC